AGGACAGCGCAACAGACACCCGCAUGGUAUCUGGCCGGGUGAGGCGGUGUUGAUGAUGCUGGAUGACGUGGAGCUGCAGUGGAAGCGGGGUCACCUGUCGCACCUGCAGUCUGCUGUGGAGCUGCUCAUAGGGGUCGUGCUUGGGGAACAUCUGGACAAGGAGCUCAUUCCAAGACUGUGGCUGGUACAAAAACAAAAGACCCAGAAGAUCGAUUGCACUGGCUACAUUCCACACAUAGUGUGGAACUGGAUAUGUGAUGCUGCAGGU